UACGUAGGCAGCGAGCGUUGUUCGGAAUUACUGGGCGUAAAGCGUGCGUAGACGGCUAUCUAAGUCGGGUGUGAAAGCCCCGGGCUCAACCUGGGAAUUGCAUUCGAGACUGAAUAGCUAGGGUGCGGUAGAGGGAAGCGGAAUUUCCGGUGUAGCGGUGAAAUGCGUAGAUAUCGGAAGGAACAUCAGUGGCGAAAGCGGCUUCCUGGACCAGCACCGACGUUCAGGCACGAAAGCGUGGGGAGCAAACAGG
rnacentral:rRNA from 1 species